UACGUAGGGGGCAAGCGUUGUCCGGAUUUACUGGGCGUAAAGGGCGCGUAGGCGGCCACCGCAAGUCGACUGUGAAAUCUCCGGGCUUAACCCGGAAAGGUCAGCCGAUACUGCGGGGCUAGAGUGCAGAAGGGGCAACUGGAAUUCUCGGUGUAGCGGUGAAAUGCGUAGAUAUCGAGAGGAACACCUGCGGCGAAGGCGGGUUGCUGGGCUGACACUGACGCUGAUGUGCGAAAGCUAGGGGAGCGAACGGG
rnacentral:rRNA from 1 species